UACGGGGGGGGCAAGCGUUGUUCGGAAUUACUGGGCGUAAAGGGCUCGUAGGCGGCCAACUAAGUCAGACGUGAAAUCCCCAGGCUCAACCUGGGAACUGCGUCUGAUACUGGAUGGCUUGAAUCCGGGAGAGGGAUGCGGAAUUCCAGGUGUAGCGGUGAAAUGCGUAGAUAUCUGGAGGAACACCGGUGGCGAAGGCGGCAUCCUGGACCGGUAUUGACGCUGAUGCGCGAAAGCCAGGGGAGCAAACAGGG
rnacentral:rRNA from 1 species